rnacentral:rRNA from 1 species
CAACAGGGAUUGCCCUAGUAACGGCGAGUGAAGCGGCAACAGCUCAAAUUUGAAAUCUGGCUCCUUUGGGGCCCGAGUUGUAAUUUGUAGAGGGCACUUCGGUGUUGGCUCCGGCCUAAGUUCCUUGGAACAGGACGUCACAGAGGGUGAGAAUCCCGUACGUGGCCGGUCGCCUUCGCCAUGUGAAGUCCCUUCGACGAGUCGAGUUGUUUGGGAAUGCAGCUCUAAAUGGGAGGUAAAUUUCUUCUAAAGCUAAAUAUUGGCCAGAGACCGAUAGCGCACAAGUAGAGUGAUCGAAAGAUGAAAAGCACUUUGGAAAGAGAGUCAAAAAGCACGUGAAAUUGUUGAAAGGGAAGCGCUUGCAGCCAGACUUGCCUGUAGUUGCUCAUCCGGGCUCUUGCCCGGUGCACUCUUCUGCUGGCAGGCCAGCAUCAGUUUGGGCGGCCGGAUAAAGGCUCUGGGAAUGUGGCUCUCUCCGGGGAGUGUUAUAGCCCAGGGUGUCAUGCGGCCAGUCUGGACUGAGGUCCGCGCAUCUGCUAGGAUGCUGGCGUAAUGGCUGUAAGCGGCCCGUCUUGAAACACGGACCAAGGAGUCUAACAUCUAUGCGAGUGUUUGGGUGUCAAGCCCGGGCGCGUAAUGAAAGUGAACGGAGGUGGGAACCCCCUGGGGUGCACCAUCGACCGAUCCUGAUGUCUUCGGAUGGAUUUGAGUAAGAGCAUAGCUGUUGGGACCCGAAAGAUGGUGAACUAUGCCUGAAUAGGGUGAAGCCAGAGGAAACUCUGGUGGAGGCUCGCAGCGGUUCUGACGUGCAAAUCGAUCGUCAAAUUUG